UGGCCUUGGGCCGCGGGACUCAGCCGCAGGCCUCUGCGCCCGACAUCCCACCCGGGGCACAGACUCUGCUCGUAGCGGCCCUGGAGGCGUUCGCUCCGCAGGCUCGUGGUUCCGCAGCCUGGGACCGGCUCCGUACCCGCUGCACAGGACCGUGGGCGUCGUCACUCAAGACAGGGAGGGGCCCACUGAGAUCUCGUCGCAACCGCGCUUCCUGGUAGGGGGCACACGUGGCUUCUGUUCUUGCCAGCGCCGCCUGGCUCCGGGGCCUUGGCCGCUUCCAGCCAGCCUUGCGAGGACUGAAGCUAGAUCCUCCAAAGAAGCCCCUAGAAUAUGGGAUGGAAACAGCCAUGCACAGCAGGAGCCAAGUGUGCUGCAGAGCUGCCAUCUCUGUUCCUGUCAAGUGCCUUCAGCCUUGCUGUCCUAUAAGCCAUCCACCUGAGGAUGACCUUUCCGGGUCAUAUUAUUUGAAUGAAGGAAGAUAUUCGGCUUAUUAAGAAAAGACAGGGUGAGGAGACUUUUUGAUACAUUGAUCCCCGGGCUGGUCUCUGGAGACUGAGAUGGUCUGGACAGUGGGGACAGAGGAAAGGAAGGGGAUGGUGAUGGGGCCUUGCAGGAGGUCACAGGGAAUGGUCUGUCACUCCUCGUGCAGCAGAGAGAAGACCCAUCCGUGGACAAGGAGUUAGGUGUCAGAGUGAAGCUGGCCAUGCAGUGCUGGGGAGAGGGAGGGGGCUCCGCGGUCCGACCUACUCGCCUUCAACAGCGGGCCCUACUGCUCCUACCACGUGCAUCUGAGCUUGAAUCUCUAUUUGCUUCUCUCACUGAUGGGACUAAAGAACCAAAUACAUAUCCCCUGAGAGAUUCAGAGAGACGGUAAAUGCCGACAUGCUCGCUCGAGUAUAAAUGCUCACCUUCCUGCUAGCUCAGCUUCAUAAAGAAAAUUCCAGAAUCUAAAGGAUAUGUUAAGUGUGCACUUAAUGUACCAGAGCUUAACUGUGCGACUACAGGCUCCCUGUUGCCUUUGGGAAGACUCCCAACAAAAUGUUCCAAGCAAAUUAAAAUCUAUUCUCCUUUUAAAGACUUCCCAAAUACGUUAAUUAAGAAUUUACUCUGGUGUUUAAUAACUGGAUAUGUGAAGAAAUCGUCCCAGAAAAUCCUCUGAAUGCUGUUUGCUGCGGUGGGAGGGGGUCCUCCUGAGGACGUGUUCAUUACCUGGAGCGCCAGCUUCUGCCGAGGUCCCCUUGGCCGUGUUAUCCGGUGUGUGACUGCGGUGCGUGUCUCAGUUAAUGAGCCUCCUUCUGCAUUUGGUCUCUCGCCUUGGACAAAGGAAAAUGACCCAGCGCCCCACGAGGCGUCCUAGCGCCAUGUGGGUCUGUGUGAUAGUCGGACACACACCGAAUACGGCCCAGUGUGGAGGGGAAUUCCCUGAGUUUGCUGAGCGUGAGCAGCCCGGAAGCAUCAUCCUGUGUGAGGACAAGUCAGAAGGCGGGGGUUUUAGAUUUACUCGGUGUGGACUGCCUGCCGGGCCUGCCUCCCUUCAGUCGGGCCAUCCUGAGGCUCUUCUUCACAUAUCAGACAGUGACUCCAAUGAGGACAUGAAUUAUUCCAUAAAACGCAGCCCAGCUUGGGACAGCAUCUGUCCUUGGUUCGGAAGGUGAUACAUUCCAGCAAGGUGCUCAGUUUCAAAGGACCUCAUGGUAACGAGCUUGAGUCUGUCCAACAGUGACUUACUUUUCUAAGUGGUCCCAGGAGAAAGUCUGGUGAAUGACGAAGGGCAUCGAUCCCUGGGAUCUUCAGGAGUUCAGCCAGGAUCCUCUGAAAGGGAAUGUGGCCCUGCCCAGCAGAGUUCGAGCAAAAGAACGAGUCACCGUCCGGCUGCCAGAGGCUUGGACCAAGAGCACCAUUUUGGUUUUUUGAUGCAGAAGGAACAGGGGUCGCCUGAGAAGUGGAGGACGGAAGGUCGGAAGCCCCAUGUCACUGUCACUCCUACGUGCACCCCGGGGAAACGGAGCCCUGAGCCCCUGCACACGCACACACAUUCCCGUGCUUUCCACAAAAGCCAAAACACAGAAACUACCCAAAUGUCCAGCGAUGUAUGAAUGAAUAAAUAAAUUUUGGGCUCAGUACACGAUGGAAGUUAUUCAGGUUUAAGAAGGAAUAACGUCCUGGUCACACUUCAACAUGGUUGAAACUCGAGACCGUUAUCUUAAAAUGUGAAAGAAACCAGAACGCAAAGCCAUGUGUGGUUGGUCCCCUGCAUAGGAAACACCAGAAUGGAGAACCUCAUAGAGACCGAAUGUACCCUGGAGCCUGCCAGAAGCAGGACAGGAGGAGGAAAUGGAGGCACCUGCUUAUCAGGG